GCCGCUAUAGCUCAGCUGGUAGAGCAGCUCACUCGUAAUGAGCAGGUCGUCCGUUCGAAUCGGAUUAGCGGCUCCA
rnacentral:tRNA from 2 species